rnacentral:lncRNA from 1 species
GCUGAUCAGGUCAACAUUGGGGAAAUGUUAGCUGAUGCCUUCUUAAACCAUUUGAGUGAUGAUAUGGUGAUAAUGGAGAUAAAUGGUUGAAUUUCCAAACCAUUAUUGCCGCAUGUAAAAGAAUUUCAAAUUUUAAUUCAUCCUACAAAUUUGGAGCUUAGUGAUAACAUGGAGUACUCCGUUUGAAAAUUAUAUAUAUAUAUAUAUAUAUAUAUAUAUAUAUAUAUAUAUAUUAUUAUUAUUAUUAAGUGAUAUGAAGUUUUUAUUUAGGUGUCAUUACUUAUAUUUUUAAUUAGUUGAGUACUAUUAUUAUGUCACUAUUAAUAUAUUCCUAACUAAUAAUGUGAAUAUGUUUUAAAAAAAAAUUACUUUAAAAGUUGUCGUUUUAAAUUUAAACGCGGGAGUAACAUAUCAUACAUUAAUUAAUCGAAAUAAUGAAGCUAAUAUGCAUGGAUUUGGCAUGAGUCCGGAUUUGGCAUGAGUCCGGGUUACGUUUGUUUGCAAGGAGAUUACAUUUGAGGUAAAAUUAUUAAUAUUAAUUGUCUUGUUUAUUUUUAAAUUUAGACUUAGGACUAUUAGUCGAGAAAUUAUAAAAUAGUUUAAUAUGAUGGAUUAUUUAAUAUCAUAUUCAACUAGGUAUUAUAAUAAUCCACACUAUUUAAGAUUAAAAAUUUAUAGACAAAAUUAACCUUAACAUUUUUUUUAAAAAUUUCCUCUUUUUCUAAAAUGACUUGCACUUUUUAGAUUUUUGAUAUAUUGUUGUAAUGUAUUAGUACUUAGUAUGAGAAGGCUGUUAGCUUUUACCCAUAGGAUGGAGGAAAGAUUAAUAUAAAAUUAUAAAUUAUAUCAUCACGAUUACUUUUAUUAAUUUAAAUAAAAAAGAAGAGCAUAUAGCUUGGUAGCUGAUAUAUGAUACCAAGCUACAGGGGAGUAAUAUAUUAUAUAGAUUUGUAGUUAAUUUAUGAUAAUUUGAUUUUCAAAUAUUUUAUAUAGGAAGAGUAUGGUAAAGUACUAUAAACUCACUAAUUUAUUUUAGUAGUAUUUAAAAGUUUAUAAUUAAUUGUUCAUCAUUUUUUAAUGUAUAAACAAGUUUAAAUUACAGUUUAAAAUAUAUUAUUAUUAGUAAGGGUGUAAUAGUCCAAACGAUAUUUUUUUAUUCAAUUUUUUAUUUAAUUCCAAAAAAAACAAACAUAACAUUGAAUUAUUUUAAUUAAGUUAUCUCAUAAAUAAUAAAUAUAUGACUAGUACUAUUUAUAAACAUAACCCUAGAGAACAAGGAAGUGUUUUAGGCUUUUAGCUACUACUUAUAAGAUUUGGAUGCAUGAGAGGUCUUGGAAUCUAUUUUCUGUCCAGAUAGAAAUGUUAAGAUUUCAGCUAUAAAAAAACUAACCAAUUCAAAAAAAAAAAGAACAAAAAAAAGAAGAAGAGUGUUUUGGCUUGCAUUCAUAAUAAACAUUCAAGGGUUUGUCAUCAUAAUUCAUUAAAUAUCACCAUUAUUAAAUUAACAGCUCAUCUAUAUUAAGAAGAGGAAUGAAAUGAUAAAAUUGUUCAUAAUAAUAUGUCAUUAAUUAUUUUCAAUGUAGGUGAGAGAGUGACUUUCUAGCUAUUCAAUUCAAAAUAUUCUCUCUCCAUACUUAUUAAAUAUGGAGAGAGAAUUAUAAUAAGAAAAGUAUGAGAUAUUUAAUGUUACGGGCAUAAUAGAAAAAAAUGUGUAAAAAUUUGGUUAUUGUAAAUAAAAGUGGAUAUUUAACAUAGUAAUAAUGACUUUUAUUAUGAGACGGAGAGAGUAUCAAAUAUGAAAUGAUUAUAAUCACCCUUAACUAUUAAGUUAAGACAUGUGUCGUCUUUUGAUUGACUAUGUUUUGAUAUCUUCAAAUUACGUAUAUGCCCCAUGCACUGGCUUAUUUGUAGCCAUAUAUCAUAUGCGGAUAUAUAUGUAACUGCCACGUACGUUAGGUAUGCCCCAUGCGCUGGCUAAAUGGUAGCCGUAUAUCAUAUGCAGAUAUAUGUACCUGCCACGUACGUGUCCACAAGCUUCACAUUCUUAAUUAAUAUUUAAUACCUAUUAAACCAAGAUAGUAAUUUUCAAAAAUUAGAUCAGAAGCCUGCAAAAAUCAUGAGCACCGCAAAGGUAUAAGUUAAUAAUAGGUUGUAUGGUACAUAUUUAUUUAUUUAUUUACCAAUUUUAUUUUGUGAACUCAGGCUACUGAAAAGAUUAAUGAUAAAGGGGUAUUAGAGACUAGGGUUGAGACGGUGGAUUUUCGGUCACCGGCGGGGGAAAAUGAAGAAGAAGCUGUGAAAAGGGACGUGGUGGUGGUCCAUCAGAAUGAAGAUUCCGGCACCGGAACCGGAGGUGGUCGGAAUGUUUUUGUGGAUGCAGCUGCCGCAGUGGCUAGCAAAGUUGGAACUGGAAAAGGUGAUAUAUAGCUAGAUCUGGUGGGAAACAGUGGAAUACAUACUACAUACCUUUCAUGUGAAGAACAUGUAUGUAGUUUGUAUUGAAUAAAAGUUUACUGUACUUGAUAAAAGAAUACACAUAUCUUUCAUGGCUUUUCAUUUUGGAGUUUUGUGAUUUUGUGAUAAUAAUAAUAAAAAAAUAUAUUCCUUUUUCUUGUGCAAUAUUUUACAAUUACAAA